GUUCCUGUGGCGAAAUGGAUAGCGCAUUGGAUUUGUAAUCCAAAGGACAUGGGUUCGAAUUCCACCUGGGAUG